GAAGAUAUAUGCAUGUUUAUGAUUAUGCAAGUCUAUUAAUAAUUAUUGCAUAAAUUUAGGGGGAAUCAUAAAUUGAGGGGGAACACAUAUCUUGAACUGUUAUGCAUAUGAACAUGUAUCUUGAACUAUUAUGCAUAUAGUCAUAUCUUGAACUGUUAUUAUUAUGCAUAUCCCGAUAUAGGUUUGCCAUUAUCAAAAAGGGG
rnacentral:lncRNA from 1 species